rnacentral:rRNA from 1 species
CAGUAGCCGCGGUAACACAGAGGGUGCGAGCGUUAAUCGGAUUUACUGGGCGUAAAGCGCACGUAGGCGGACUUUUAAGUCAGGGGUGAAAUCCCGGGGCUCAACCCCGGAACUGCCUUUGAUACUGGAAGUCUUGAGUAUGGUAGAGGUGAGUGGAAUUCCGAGUGUAGAGGUGAAAUUCGUAGAUAUUCGGAGGAACACCAGUGGCGAAGGCGGCUCACUGGACCAUUACUGACGCUGAGGUGCGAAAGCGUGGGGAGCAAACAGGAUUAGAUACCCCCGUAGUCCCUGUCUCUUAUAC